GAUCCUGGCUCAGGAUGAACGCUGGCGGCGUGCCUAACACAUGCAAGUCGAGCGAAGCAAUCGAGAUGAAGUUUUCGGAUGGAUUCUUAAUUGACUGAGCGGCGGACGGGUGAGUAACGCGUGGGUAACCUGCCUCAUACAGGGGGAUAACAGUUAGAAAUGACUGCUAAUACCGCAUAAGCGCACAGUACCACAUGGUGCGGUGUGAAAAACUCCGGUGGU
rnacentral:rRNA from 1 species